rnacentral:rRNA from 1 species
GACGAACGCUGGCGGCGUGCUUAACACAUGCAAGUCGAACGAAGAGCGAUGGAAGCUUGCUUCUAUCAAUCUUAGUGGCGAACGGGUGAGUAACGCGUAAUCAACCUGCCCUUCAGAGGGGGACAACAGUUGGAAACGACUGCUAAUACCGCAUACGAUCUAAUCUCGGCAUCGAGGAUAGAUGAAAGGUGGCCUCUACAUGUAAGCUAUCACUGAAGGAGGGGAUUGCGUCUGAUUAGCUAGUUGGAGGGGUAACGGCCCACCAAGGCGAUGAUCAGUAGCCGGUCUGAGAGGAUGAACGGCCACAUUGGGACUGAGACACGGCCCAGACUCCUACGGGAGGCAGCAGUGGGGAAUCUUCCGCAAUGGACGAAAGUCUGACGGGGCAACGCCGCGUGAGCGAUGACGGCCUUCGGGUUGUAAAGCUCUGUUAAUCGGGACGAAAGGCCUUCUUGCGAAUAGUGAGAAGGAUUGACGGUACCGGAAUAGAAAGCCACGGCUAACUACGUG